UACAGAGGUCUCAAGCGUUGUUCGGAUUCAUUGGGCGUAAAGGGCGCGUAGGCGGUGGGGUAAGUCUGGUGUGAAAUCUCGGAGCUCAACUUCGAAAUUGCACUGGAUACUGCUCUGCUAGAGGGCUGGAGAGGAGAUCGGAAUUCACGGUGUAGCAGUGAAAUGCGUAGAUAUCGUGAGGAAGACCAGUGGCGAAGGCGGAUCUCUGGACAGCUCCUGACGCUGAGGCGCGAAGGCUAGGGGAG
rnacentral:rRNA from 1 species